rfam:Alkalibacterium sp. AK22 ATG3_contig_40, whole genome shotgun sequence.
GCCGGCUUAGCUCAGUUGGUAGAGCAACUGAUUUGUAAUCAGUGGGUCGAGGGUUCAAAUCCUUUAGCCGGCA